rnacentral:lncRNA from 1 species
AUUCUCAUAGCUGCUUCUGCAUUUGUGUUGCUAUUAUGCUGUUUGGGUUGAAGUAUAUGAAGAAAACCCAGCCUCACACAGCUGCAAAAGGAAGGCCGGGGCGGGGGGCGGGGCGAGUAUUUCAUAGUUUUUUCAGAUAUUGAGAAUAUAACCAUCCCUUGUAUUUUUUUUUUAGAGACAGGAUCUUGCUGUGUUGCCUAGGUUGGUCUCAAACACCUGGCCUCAACCAAUCCUCCCACCUUGGCCUCCCAAAGUGCUGAGAUUUUAGGUGUGAGAGCCACCAUGCCUGGCAUCAUUCUAUGUCUCAAAUCCAAAACCCUCACCCCUUGUCCAACACUUCAUAAACAUACCACAAAUCAAAA